GAUUAGUCACUCUUUUUCGCAUCGGUCACUAUUUUCGGUAUUUUCGGUUAUCAUUUCGGUGGCUGCAUUCUGUAUCGGUGACGUUCGACGUUUGAUAGUUCAUCAAAUAGUAGCGCUGUUAUUUGAUCAAUUUGGUCACCUGUCAGCUGCGCUACUGUUUUAGCAGCGCGUUUAGUAGCGACCGGUAAAGUGUCAAGUAAUGAUACUGCGCUGACAAACGGUUUAUACUCACCACCGAAAUGAAGCUUAUGAUAAAUAAAAUACUGCUGGUCACUGAUUGAAGAUCGUUCAGUGGCUACCAUUGGCCAAUCUCACCAACGGGAUAUAAUAAGAACUGAUGCAGGUUUAUAUCUAUAUGUAUUGUCUAUUCGGAACAAAGUUAGUACGCUUUUUAAACCGAUGUUGGAUUUUUCUCCAGAUACAGGCAACCCACUUAACUUUGGAAGUAGUGCGCUGGAUUCGUCUAAAGAUAUGCUGAACAACCGGAGGAAAAUAAAAUAAUUUGUAAAACAAUUAAUUGUAUUGUAUUUUUAUUGUAAUAUUGGAGUAUAAUGUAUUCUAAAUCCUGUUGUAUUUCUAUUGUAAAACAAUAGAAACAGUAAUUGAAAACAUUUAAAACACAAUGUUUUCUAUUGUUUUGUCGCUCGAAAUCAUCCCAUUGAAGAACCGUAAAAUCAAUUGUUUUGCUCCGAAUUUUGUAUGGAAAAUUUUCGA